AUUUGUCUCUCGAAAAUCUUCCAAAUCUCACAAGUUUUUGUGAUGGGCAUUUAAUUGAAUUUUGCUCUCUGACCAAUCUAUGGAUAGACAAUUGCCCUGUGUUCAAGACUUUCGUCUCAAAUCGUCUAAGUCAAUCUCUUUUUGAUGAAAAGGUUGCAUUUUCGAGCUUGGAGCAUCUGUCAAUAAUUAGGAUGAGUAACUUGGAAAGGAUAUGGCACAACCAACUCGCUGGAGGUUCCUUUUGCAUGCUAAAAUCAAUGACAGUAGGAGAUUGUAAAAACUUGCACACACUUUUUCCAUCAAAUGACUUAAGAAGAUUCCAGAAAUUGGAGCAGUUAAAUUUAACGAAUUGUGAUUCACUAGAAGAGAUAUAUCAACUCCCAGAAUUCAAUGCUGAAGAAGAAAGUUUUGCAAUAGAUUUGAAUUUAAGGUCUAUGGAAAUUCGUGAUCUGAAAAAUUUGAAAAAUCUCUUUCCUGCUUCCGUAGCACAAAACCUUUUACUACUUGAAAAGCUUAGUGUAGACUCUUGUGGGGUGGAGACGAUUGUUGCAAAGGCAGAAGGUGCAAAAGCAGCCCCUUCUUUUGUGUUCCCAAAACUGCUCUCCUUGAAACUCUCAAAUCUAAAAGAUAUCAGGAGAUUUUAUCCAGGAAUACAUAGCUUGGAAUUUUCAAGGUUAAAAGAUUUGAAGGUGCAUGAUUGUGGAAAUGGAAUGGAGUUUUGUUCAGAUUUGUUUGGUUUACAGGGACAACAUGGAGAGGAACAACAUCACAUCACUAUCCAACAACCAUUACACUUGGAGAAAAAGGUUUUCCCCAAUUUGGAGGAGUUGUCAUCAGAUGGUCAGAUGAUUGAGAUGAUUUUGCAAUGCCAAUUGCCAAAAGGUUUCCUUUCCAAAGUAAAAUCUGUUCAACUGUACCACAUUCAUGAGAAAUCAACUGUUUCUCUUUUUGGAUUCCUGCAAAGAUUACCCGAUCUGGAAAGUCUAUUUGUGCAAGAAUCUUCCCUCAAAGAGUUAUUACGAAAUGGACUUGAUGAUGGUGAAAAAGAAGAUGAUGGCACCACACUACCACUGAUAAGAAACUUAAAUCUGUAUCACCUUCAAAAUCUGGAGCAUAUCUGGAAGCCACACCCUCGGCUGGACAUUGUUCUUGAAUAUGUAGAAACUAUGACAGUACGGGGUUGCGCUAAUUUGAUCAAUAUAACACCAUCCUCUGCAUCUUUCCGAAAUCUAACAACUUUAGAAGUUGGUUUUUGCAAAGCAUUGAAACAUCUGGUAACAUCAGCUACAGCCAAAAGUAUGGUGCAACUCAUGAAGAUGAAGAUUCUAACUUGCAAGAUAUUGACAGAAAUAGUAACAGAUGAAAGAGAUGGAAGAACAGAAGAGAUUGUAUUCAGCAGAUUGAAAACUUUGGAACUCAUUCAUUUAGCAAGCCUCAUAAGCUGUUGCUGUAACUGUAAAAGUGAAACUUUCUAAAUUCUCAUCUUUGUUAGAAGUAAAUGUAAAAGCAUUAAGCAUACCAAAGCUUCAACAUGUACAACUGACAUUUUUGGAAUUGGCUUUGGAAGGGAAACCUCAAUGCCACCACAAAACAGUUGUAUAUGGAAAUGGAUGGAUUUAAAUAGCAUUGAGAAAGUGAAACUUUCUAAAUGUCCCCAACUAAGGGGAAAUGGCAUACCCACCUUUUAUUGAAGAAAAGUGAAAACAUGUUUCAUUUGGCUGAUGUUCUUGGGACUUUUGUGAGUGGUUUUCAUUUUUUUACUUUGUAGCCGAUGUGGUUUUCAUUUGAGCUUUCACUCAUUCUCUUUUUGUUGAAGUUCACAUGUUCAAUAAAAGACAAUUCAACCAAUAUAUACUGUGUAUUAAUUUGUGUCCAUAGUAUUCAAUUAUAGAAGCUGUGCAACAUUAAAAUUGCUGUUACAGUUAAUUAUAUUACCUUUUUGUUACGUUUUCGUGAUCACAAAGGCAUGAAUUUAUUGUAGCUGUAAUUUUAUCAUUGCAACCUAAAAUUUCCCAAUUCAUGAUUCAUAAUAUCUCUUUCUUUUGGGGUGUGGGACUAGAAUUCACACACUCGUGGGUUAGCUUUGAUUGUAGCAAUUAAAAUGCCAACAAUUCUGCAAAUAAGAGAUACUGAUGCAAGGUUUGCUAAGACUCACAAAAAGGAGAAACAGAAACAUCUGUAAAAUAUAUAUCUAUACAAAUAUUAUAAAGCUAACCUCUAAAAAAAACUCUACAGUAUAUUGCCACGUGAUGCACUAUUUCACUAACAUCUGGUGCUCUGUUAUCCCUCGUAGCCCUAUUUCCUCUUUGAUUUUGGCCCCACUUCCUUUGCUUUCCGUUAACAUCUUUCAUCUUCCCUCAAGAUUUUUAAUUCCUCGACCAUCUCCAUUCGCCGAUAAAUCCAGAACCUGGAGAAUUAGGGCUUCGAAUGAUGGGAACUAGCUGCCGGACAUACGGACGAAUGCUGUCAAUCGAGACAAAAAGACCGUUGAGUUCCAAAAGCACGCUGAAAGAGUGAAUUUGAAGAAGAAAGCAAGGCAGUAAUUCCAAGGGAGCGGCAGUUUGGGCAUAAUAAGGAAAGUGAUUUCAUCGGGGAAAAUGGAGGCAGAGGCAGAGGCAGCAGAGGACGAGUGGAAAAUAAACAAGGCAAAAAUCGACAUUCAUUUACUAAAUUUUGAGUUUGUAUAUUUGAAUUGAUUUCUCAAUAUUAGGAAUUAAUGGAUUGGGAUUUGUUAAGGUCUUUAUUUAUUUAUUUACUUUGAGAGAAAGGGUCUUUAAUUUUGGGAUGUUGGAUUUUUACCUGUUAAUGUAUGUGCUUUGAUUUAUUUAUUAUGUUCUAUUAUUGAU
rnacentral:misc_RNA from 1 species